UACGUAGGGUGCAAGCGUUAAUCGGAAUUACUGGGCGUAAAGCGUGCGCAGGCGGUUUUGUAAGUUUUGUCGUGAAAUCCCCCGGGCUCAACCUGGGAAUGGCGAUGAAGACUGCAAGGCUAGAAUCUGGCAGAGGGGGGGUAGAAUUCCACGUGUAGCAGUGAAAUGCGUAGAGAUGUGGAGGAACACCGAUGGCGAAGGGCAGCCCCCUGGGUCAAGAUUGACGCUCAUGCAC
rnacentral:rRNA from 1 species